UACGUAGGGUGCGAGCGUUAAUCGGAAUUACUGGGCGUAAAGCGUGCGCAGGCGGUAAGUUAAGUCUGAUGUGAAAGCCCCGGGCUCAACCUGGGAAUGGCAUUGGAAACUGGCUUGCUGGAGUGUGGCAGAGGGGGGUGGAAUUCCGCGUGUAGCAGUGAAAUGCGUAGAGAUGCGGAGGAACACCGAUGGCGAAGGCAGCUCGCUGGGACGGUACUGACGCUGAGACGCGAAAGCGUGGGGAGCGAACAGG
rnacentral:rRNA from 1 species